UUUUGGCUUAGGGAUGGCAACGGCAUCCUUUUCUUUUGGCACAUCGGAUAGUUGAAGAUGGAUCAUGGAAAAAAGAAAAGAUCAAGUGAACAGCCCGGCCGCUA
rnacentral:sRNA from 1 species